UAGUCAUAUGCUUGUCUCAAAGAUUAAGCCAUGCAUGUCUAAGUACAAGCCUCACUAAGGUGAAACCGCGAAUGGCUCAUUAAAUCACACCUAAUCUACUGGAUAGUUAACAGUUACUUGGAUAACUGCGGUAAUUCUGGAGCUAAUACAUGCACAAAGCCCCGAACUUACGUGAGGGGCGCUUUUAUUAGAUCAAAACCAAACGGCUUCGGCUGUAUCCUUGGUGACUCUGAAUAACUUUGGGCUGAUCGCAUGGCCUAGCGCCGGCGACAUAUCCUUCGAAGGUGUGCCCUAUCAACUGUCGACUGUGGCAUAGACGCCCACAGUGGUUUUGACGGGUAACGGGGGAUCAGGGUUCGAUUCCGGAGAGGGAGCCUUAAAAACGGCUACCACAUCUAAGGAAGGCAGCAGGCACGCAAAUUACCCAAUGACCGAAGGUCGGGGUAGUGACAAAAAAUAACGAUACGGGACUCAUCUGAGGCCCCGUAAUCGGAAUGAGUACACUUUAAAACCGUCCCCGAGGAUCUAUU
rnacentral:rRNA from 1 species